GGGUUUAGAACGUCGUGAGACAGUUCGGUCCCUAUCUGCCGUGGGCGUUGGAAGAUUGAAGGGGGCUGCUCCUAGUACGAGAGGACCGGAGUGGACGAACCUCUGGUGUUCGGGUUGUGUCGCCAGACGCAUUGCCCGGUAGCUAAGUUCGGAAUCGAUAACCGCUGAAAGCAUCUAAGCGGGAAGCGAGCCCUGAGAUGAGUCUUCCC
rnacentral:rRNA from 1 species